AGUGGAGCAAUCCAUGAGUACAGUGGCGUACGGGUGAGUAACACGUGGGUAUCUACCUCUUAGUGGGGAAUAACCCUGGGAAACCGGGGCUAAUACCGCAUAAGCCUGAAAGGGGAAAGUCGAAAGACGCUGAGAGAGGAGCCCGCGGCUGAUUAGCUAGUUGGUGGGGUAAAGGCUCACCAAGGCAAAGAUCGGUAGCCGGCCUGAGAGGGCACACGGCCACACUGGCACUGAAACACGGGCCAGACUCCUACGGGAGGCAGCAGUGGGGAAUCUUGCACAAUGGGGGAAACCCUGAUGCAGCGACGCCGCGUGAGCGAUGAAGCCCUUCGGGGUGUAAAGCUCUUUCGACGGGAACGAUAAUGACGGUACCCGGAGAAGAAGCUGCGGCUAACUACGUGCCAGCAGCCGCGGUAAUACGUAGGCAGCAAACGUUGUUCGGAAUUACUGGGCGUAAAGAGUGUGUAGGCGGUUAGGUAAGUUUGGUGUGAAAUCUCCCGGCUUAACUGGGAGGGUGCGCCGAAAACUGCCUGGCUUGAGUACUGGAGAGGAUAGCGGAAUUCCUGGUGUAGCGGUGAAAUGCGUAGAUAUCAGGAGGAACACCUGCAGUGUAGACGGCUGUCUGGACAGUAACUGACGCUGAGACACGAAAGCGUGGGGAGCAAACAGGAUUAGAUACCCUGGUAGUCCAUGCCCUAAACGAUGCAUACUUGGUGUGGGUGAUUCAUUUUAUCCGUGCCGGAGCUAACGCGUUAAGUAUGCCGCCUGGGGAGUACGGUCGCAAGGGCUGAAACUCAAAG
rnacentral:rRNA from 1 species